GACGAACCGUGCGAACGUUGUUCGGAAUCACUGGGCUUAAAGGGCGCGUAGGCGGCUUGCCAAGUCCGGGGUGAAAGCCUCCAGCUCAACUGGAGAAGUGCCUUGGAUACUGGCGAGCUCGAGCGAGGUAGGGGCGGGUGGAACUUCCGGCGGAGCGGUGAAAUGCGUUGAUAUCGGAAGGAACGCCGGUGGCGAAAGCGGCUCUCUGGAGCUUUUCUGACGCUGAGGCACGAAAGCUAGGGGAGCGAACGGG
rnacentral:rRNA from 1 species